GACGAACCGAGCGAACGUUGUUCGGAAUCACUGGGCUUAAAGGGCGCGUAGGCGGGCUGUCAAGUCUGGGGUGAAAUCCCGCGGCUCAACCGUGGAACUGCCUCAGAUACUGACGGUCUCGAGGGGGAUAGGGGCGAGCGGAACUGUGAGUGGAGCGGUGAAAUGCGUUGAUAUUGGGAAGAACACCUGCGGCGAAGGCGGGUUGCUGGGCCGACACUGACGCUGAGGCGCGAAAGCUAGGGGAGCGAACGGG
rnacentral:rRNA from 1 species